CCCUUCUUCUCCGCGUUGUCACCGCCUAGAUCUGGCCGGGAUCUCACCAGCGAACCAACUUAACGAACCGACUGGCGAAGCCUUCCGCGCUGCCUACCCGUGUCGUCGACUCCUCUCUCUCCCUCCGUCGUCGAAACCUGGUGCAACAGCACCUGUAUCACCUACCAGCGUCGCCCCUUUUUCUUUCCCCUUUCACUGUCAUCUCCGUCAGAUCGAAAAAAUUUCAAAACCGAUGAAACCAUGGCUUCCUGCUCUUUUAUUUACUUCUGUUAG
rnacentral:lncRNA from 1 species